rnacentral:miRNA from 1 species
UUUUGCAUCGCUGUGCUUGGUCCC